AUCACAAAGCCUUUUCGCUCAGAACCCAGAGAAAAAAAGAGAGGAAAGCAAUGGGAGCUGUCUUUCUGGCCUAAGUGGCGGGUGCCGGAGGUUGUGAAUGCUAAUGCAGAGGUCGGGAGAUCGAUUGGGGAGGGACAGAGACACCAAGAAAGAGGCACUGAAGAGGCAGAGAAGAAAGGACAAGCAGGAAUACAAAGCAAGAAAGACAGGAGUGUGGAUGGGACAAGGCGCCCUGACUCCAGAGGAGCAGAUCAGGAAAGGAAAAGGCAGAAAGACAAGCAAACCCCCAGGGUGGUGUGUUGGGAGAUAGGCCAGCAUACGGGCCUCAGGCAGGCACUGCCCCGCCUCCCACCCCUCGGAGGACACCCAAAAGUGACAGCCAUCGCCUCGCUGAGUUCAUCCCGCCAAGAACAAAUGGAUUUCACAGUUCAUCAAGGGAGGAGGGGGUGUGUCAUGGGCUCAGCCACCAUGACCUACCUUUGGUCCUGCCAGCACCCCAUCUCCCUCCUGUCCCUGCCUCCUGAGAGCAGCAAGUCUGAGCAAGAAGUCACCCUUGCCUUCCCUUUGGGCAGCAGAAACGCUGCCCCUGCUUGGCCCUGAGACCUCUACCCUGGGGCUCCCCCUCUGUAGACAGGACAGAAACCUCAAGACACAGAGAAGGAAAGAGCCGGUCCCCCUCGCUGGUCGCCUCUCUCUGCUCUUACUUUUCUGCUUCUCUUCCUUCCCCUUCCUCAUCUGAGUCAAUAAUAAACAUCUCUCAUUCUUAC